UUUUUCACUUUGAUUUUCAUCACAAUUUUGGCUAGCUACAUUGCAACAGUACACAACAAAACUGAAUGUAGGGAUCGCAAAUGUAAGGAUCUGCAUCUGCAUAGGUUCUUUUGGGCCCUCAAGGCCCAAGUUUAUUGGGGCAGGCUACCUUCAAACUGCUCCAAGGCGCACCCCAAACACAAGUCCAGGAUAUUCAGGAUCCUAAUCCCUUUGUUAAUCACCCUGAUUAGCGUACAUAGGCUCAAAGUAGCCCAGUAUUAGCC
rnacentral:lncRNA from 1 species